GAUGAACGCUGGCGGCGUGCCUAAUACAUGCAAGUCGAGCGAACAGACGAGGAGCUUGCUCCUCUGACGUUAGCGACGGACGGGUGAGUAACACGUGGAUAACCUACCUAUAAGACUGGGAUAACUUCGGGAAACCGGAGCUAAUACCGGAUAAUAUAUUGAACCGCAUGGUUCAAUAGUGAAAGACGGUUUUGCUGUCACUUAUAGAUGGAUCCGCGCCGCAUUAGCUAGUUGGUAAGGUAACGGCUUACCAAGGCGACGAUGCGUAGCCGACCUGAGAGGGUGAUCGGCCACACUGGAACUGAGACACGGUCCAGACUCCUACGGGAGGCAGCAGUAGGGAAUCUUCCGCAAUGGGCGAAAGCCUGACGGAGCAACGCCGCGUGAGUGAUGAAGGUCUUCGGAUCGUAAAACUCUGUUAUUAGGGAAGAACAAAUGUGUAAGUAACUAUGCACGUCUUGACGGUACCUAAUCAGAAAGCCACGGCUAGCUACGUG
rnacentral:rRNA from 1 species